UGCUGAAUUAUUCGCCAAUGCGCGAAAGCGUGACGGUGCGACGCCGCGUGCGGGACGAAGGCCUUCGGGUUGUAAACCGCUGUCAGGGUAUAGAAAACCGAUUCGGUUAAUAGCCGGGUCGCUGAUCAUACCCAAAGGAAGCACAGGCUAAUCUCGUGCCAGCAGCCGCGGUAAUACGAGAUGUGCGAGCGUUGUUCGGAAUCACUGGGCAUAAAGGGUGCGUAGGCGGUGCACCAAGUCGGGUGUGAAAUCCCUCGGCUUAACCGAGGAACUGCAUUCGAUACUAGUGUGCUAGAGGGUAAAAGGGGCAAGCGGAAUUCUAGGUGUAGCGGUGGAAUGCGUAGAUAUCUGGGAGAACGCCGAGGGCGAAGGCAGCUUGCUGGGUUACUUCUGACGCUGAGGCACGAAAGCUAGGGGAGCAAACA
rnacentral:rRNA from 1 species